UACGUAGGGUGCAAGCGUUAAUCGGAAUUACGGGGCGUAAAGCGUGCGCAGGCGGUGCUGUAAGACAGAUGUGAAAUCCCCGGGCUCAACCUGGGAACUGCAUUUGUGACUGCAUCGCUGGAGUACGGCAGAGGGGGAUGGAAUUCCGCGUGUAGCAGUGAAAUGCGUAGAUAUGCGGAGGAACACCGAUGGCGAAGGCAAUCCCCUGGGCCUGUACUGACGCUCAUGCACGAAAGCGUGGGGAGCAAACAGG
rnacentral:rRNA from 1 species